GACGAACGCUGGCGGCGUGCUUAACACAUGCAAGUCGAACGGAAAGGCCCUGCUUUUGUGGGGUGCUCGAGUGGCGAACGGGUGAGUAACACGUGAGUAACCUGCCCUUGACUUUGGGAUAACUUCAGGAAACUGGGGCUAAUACCGGAUAGGAGCUCCUGCUGCAUGGUGGGGGUUGGAAAGUUUCGGCGGUUGGGGAUGGACUCGCGGCUUAUCAGCUUGUUGGUGGGGUAGUGGCUUACCAAGGCUUUGACGGGUAGCCGGCCUGAGAGGGUGACCGGCCACAUUGGGACUGAGAUACGGCACAGACUACUACGGGAGGCAGCAGUGGGGAAUAUUGCACAAUGGGCGGAAGCAUGAUGCAGCAACGCCGCGUGCGGGAUGACGGCCUUCGGGUUGUAAACCGCUUUCGCCUGUGACGAAGCGUGAGUGACGGUAAUGGGUAAAGAAGCACCGGCUAACUACGUG
rnacentral:rRNA from 1 species